rnacentral:rRNA from 1 species
AUUGAACGCUGGCGGCAGGCCUAACACAUGCAAGUCGAGCGAGCGGCGGGCGGGUGAGUAAUGCCUGGGAAUUGUCCAGGCGAAGGGGAUAACACUGGGGAACGACUCCUAAUACCGCAGACGAUUGGAUUGCCCAGGUGGGAUUAGCUAGUUGGUGAGGUAAUGGCUCACCAAGGCGACGAUCCCUAGCUGGUCUGAGAGGAUGAUCAGCCACACUGGAACUGAGACACGGUCCAGACUCCUACGGGAGGCAGCAGUGGGGAAUAUUGCACAAUGGGGGAAACCCUGAUGCAGCCAUGCCGCGUGUGUGAAGAAGGCCUUCGGGUUGUAAAGCACUUUCAGUGAGGAGGCGUUACUAGCAGAAGAAGCACCGGCUAACUUCGUGCCAGCAGCCGCGGUAAUAC